rnacentral:rRNA from 1 species
AUUGAACGCUGGCGGCAUGCUUUACACAUGCAAGUCGAACGGUAACAGGCCUUCGGGUGCUGACGAGUGGCGAACGGGUGAGUAAUGCAUCGGAACGUACCCAGAGGUGGGGGAUAACGCAGCGAAAGCUGUGCUAAUACCGCAUGUGAUCUGAGGAUGAAAGCGGGGGACCGAGCAGCAAUGUUUGGCCUCGCGCCUUUGGAGCGGCCGAUGUCGGAUUAGUUAGUUGGUGGGGUAAAGGCCUACCAAGGCGACGAUCCGUAGCUGGUCUGAGAGGACGACCAGCCACACUGGGACUUAGACACGGCCCAGACUCCUACGGGAGGCAGCAGUGGGGAAUUUUGGACAAUGGGCGCAAGCCUGAUCCAGCAAUGCCGCGUGCGGGAAGAAGGCCUUCGGGUUGUAAACCGCUUUUGGCAGGAACGAAACGGUGUCCGCUAAUACCGGGCGCUAAUGACGGUACCUGCAGAAUAAGCACCGGCUAACUACGUG